rnacentral:rRNA from 1 species
GAUGAACGCUGGCGGCGUGCCUAAUACAUGCAAGUCGAGCGAACAGAUGAGGAGCUUGCUCCUCCGACGUUAGCGGCGGACGGGUGAGUAACACGUGGAUAACCUACCUAUAAGACUGGGAUAACUUCGGGAAACCGGAGCUAAUACCGGAUAAUAUAUUGAACCGCAUGGUUCAAUAGUGAAAGACGGUUUUGCUGUCACUUAUAGAUGGAUCCGCGCCGCAUUAGCUAGUUGGUAAGGUAACGGCUUACCAAGGCAACGAUGCGUAGCCGACCUGAGAGGGUGAUCGGCCACACUGGGACUGAGACACGGUCCAGACUCCUACGGGAGGCAGCAGUAGGGAAUCUUCCGCAAUGGGCGAAAGCCUGACGGAGCAACGCCGCGUGAGUGGUGAAGGUCUUCGGAUCGUAAAACUCUGUUAUUAGGGAAGAACAAAUGUGUAAGUAACUAUGCACGUCUUGACGGUACCUAAUCAGAAAGCCACGGCUAACUACGUG